rnacentral:lncRNA from 1 species
GGCGGUGAUCAGAUGAGAUUCUAGGAAGAGCGCAACAUAAACAUGAUUCCAAGCUGAGAUCUACUCCUCAUUACACAAACAUUUAUCAAGCCUUUUCUUUGUGAGAGUUGAACCUCUUCUUUUAUUUGACCAAGUAAAAUCAGCUCCCCUGGUAUUUAGGUGAAUAAGGUUAGCAUCCUUAGAGAAAGAGAGGAAAUCCUCAUAGGGAAUUCUGCUAGGAAGCCUGGUUCCUCUACACUCAUUAGAACCCAAGACUACAUUAAAAUCCUGAAUACAACUCCAGAGGCCAGCAUUAGAACUCAUAACAACUUUGAUGUCAUUCCAUAGAAAUCUUCUCUGAAUGUAAAGAUUAUGAGCAUACACAGCACAC